AGCGCUGGAAUGGGGGAAGCAGGUGAAGUCCUCAGCUAUCUUCUCUUUUGUGAUGGAAUAGUUUUUAACCUCGACCUGCUUGCUAUAUUUGAGGUCUAAAUAGUUGUUACAUCAGCUUAGUCUCAAAACAACUACCUCACUGUGUUGUAGUUUGGCACAUCAUAUGUUAUAGAUAAAUACGGUAGCAGAAAAUUAUUAGUGUCAGCUGAAGUUUUCUGAAAAUCCUUUACUGCUAUCACUGUAUUCAAUAAUCUUCAUUCUUGAGUUCCAUUUGUAUGAUUUAUGGUAGUUAUUAUGUUAUAUCAUUAUUUUCUGUUUGAUUUUCAUGUGC
rnacentral:misc_RNA from 1 species